rnacentral:rRNA from 1 species
AUGAGGGCAGCAUUAAAAACUAUCCUCCCACAAACUCUGCAUAAGCUGUGUCUGUGGCAUAUCAUGAAGAAGUACAAAGACCACCGCGCCUUGCUGUAUAGGCACGAGAAGCUCAAGGAUGAACUCAAUGCAGUGCUGAACCACCCACUAAUGCCGUCAGAAUUUCAACAACAAUGGAAGAACCUCAUUCAGAGGUACAACUUGCAAGAUGACGAAGUGAUGAAUUCGCUGUGGGAUGACAGGCACGAGUGGAUCUCGGCUUACUACAAGGAAAUUUUCUGUGCUCAGAUGACUUCCACACAGAGAAGCAAGAGCAUGAACCGCAUACUCAAGAAAUUUUUUGUCAGGGAGAAGCAUGAUCUCCAUCUGUUUGCUCAGCAGGUGGAUAAGUGCAUUCAGACCAGGAAGGUCGUCGAGCACGCAGAGACAGUAGCAAAUGAGUCAGAGGUAAAAACAACAACGAAGUUUGUGUUCGAAGUUCAGCUAUCAAAAUUGUAUACAAGGGCAGUGUUUGCAUAUUUCAAAGAAACACUCUACCGUAGCACUGCAUUCAGAGCACAACGGUGCCCUGAGAACCCGACAAAGUAUCUCAUGCACCACUACAACAGAUCGGAUGCAUUUGACUGGGCAAGGCAUAAUUUCCAAGUGGUCGCCGAUGAAGAGAAAGGUGUCUACGAGUGUGAGUGCAAACUCUGGACACACACAGGGCUCUUUUGCGUCCAUGUGUUAUGCAUGCUUUCUCAUUUGAGAGUACUCAACAUUCCUGAGGUGUACAUCAUGAAAAGAUACACCCGUAACACAAGAUCAGAUGCAAUGUUUGACAGAAGAGACUACGAACAAACAACACCAGAUGGAACCUCGCUUUUUGCCGCAGAAAAUUGCUGA